CUUCAACCUUAAAUAUUACCACCUAUUUGGACUUGAAGAACAAAAUCAAGUUACGCAUAAAUAAUAAAUGGCAAUAAAAAACAAUAUCAACCGAUGGUUUAUUCCUGAACUCCGUAGAAAAUACGAAACCAUAAUUAACAGACUCCGAACGAACACACAUACCAAACGCACAAUAUUUAGAUGAAGAAAGAUGAAUCCUCACUCUGUGAUACAUGUGGCGUUUCAUUAACGGUCAACCACAUCAUCGCCGAAUGUAAAAAAUACAACUCUAUGUCUCCGUCCCC